AACGCUUCUUUCCUCCCGAGUGCUUGCACUCAAUUGGAAAGAGGAGUGGCGGACGGGUGAGUAACACGUGGGUAACCUACCCAUCAGAGGGGGAUAACACUUGGAAACAGGUGCUAAUACCGCAUAACAGUUUAUGCCGCAUGGCAUAAGAGUGAAAGGCGCUUUCGGGUGUCGCUGAUGGAUGGACCCGCGGUGCAUUAGCUAGUUGGUGAGGUAACGGCUCACCAAGGCCACGAUGCAUAGCCGACCUGAGAGGGUGAUCGGCCACACUGGGACUGAGACACGGCCCAGACUCCUACGGGAGGCAGCAGUAGGGAAUCUUCGGCAAUGGACGAAAGUCUGACCGAGCAACGCCGCGUGAGUGAAGAAGGUUUUCGGAUCGUAAAACUCUGUUGUUAGAGAAGAACAAGGACGUUAGUAACUGAACGUCCCCUGACGGUAUCUAACCAGAAAGCCACGGCUAACUACGUGCCAGCAGCCGCGGUAAUACGUAGGUGGCAAGCGUUGUCCGGAUUUAUUGGGCGUAAAGCGGGCGCAGGCGGUUUCUUAAGUCUGAUGUGAAAGCCCCCGGCUCAACCGGGGAGGGUCAUUGGAAACUGGGAGACUUGAGUGCAGAAGAGGAGAGUGGAAUUCCAUGUGUAGCGGUGAAAUGCGUAGAUAUAUGGAGGAACACCAGUGGCGAA
rnacentral:rRNA from 1 species